rnacentral:rRNA from 1 species
CACGUAAAGAACCUGCCUCAUAGACGGGGACAACUAUUGGAAACGAUAGCUAAUACCGGAUAACAGCAUAAAUCGCAUGAUAUAUGUUUAAAAGUUGGUUUCGGCUAACACUAUGAGAUGGCUUUGCGGUGCAUUAGCUAGUUGGUAGGGUAAAGGCCUACCAAGGCGACGAUGCAUAGCCGACCUGAGAGGGUGAUCGGCCACACUGGGACUGAGACACGGCCCAG